UACGUAGGGGGCAAGCGUUGUCCGGAUUUAUUGGGCGUAAAGAGCGUGUAGGCGGCCCGACAGGUCCGUUGUGAAAACUCGAGGCUCAACCUCGAGACGCCGAUGGAAACCGUCUGGCUAGAGUCCGGAAGAGGAGAGUGGAAUUCCUGGUGUAGCGGUGAAAUGCGCAGAUAUCAGGAAGAACACCCGUGGCUAAGGCGGCUCUCUAGUACGGUACUGACGCUGAGACGCGAAAGCGUGGGGAGCGAACAGG
rnacentral:rRNA from 1 species